rnacentral:rRNA from 1 species
CCCUUAGAUGUUCUGGGCUGCACGCGCGCUACACUGAUGCACUCAACGAGUUUACGACCUUGCCCGAUAGGGUUGGGUAAUCUUUUUAAAAUGCAUCGUGAUGGGGAUAGAUUAUUGCAAUUAUUAAUCUUCAACGAGGAAUUCCUAGUAAGCGCGAGUCAUCAGCUCGUGCUGAUUACGUCCCUGCCCUUUGUACACACCGCCCGUCGCUCCUACCGACUGAGUGCUCAGGUGAAUAAUUCGGACUGCAGCAAUGUUUGGAUCCCGAACGUUGCAGCGGAAAGUUUAGUGAACCUUAUCACUUAGAGGAAGGAGAAGUCGUAACA